rnacentral:piRNA from 1 species
UGCCAUCAAGAGUGAUAGCCCAGAUGUGCUU